rnacentral:rRNA from 1 species
GAUGAACGCUGGCGGCGUGCCUAAUACAUGCAAGUCGAGCGGACGGACGAGAAGCUUGUUUCCCUGCUGUUAGCGGCUGACGGGCGAGUAACGCGUGGAUCACCUACUUAUAUGUCUGGGAUGACUUCGGGAAAACGGUGAUACUACUAGAUCAUACUAUGAACGGCAGGGUUCAGAAGUGCAUGACGGUUUUGGUGUUUCUAUGAGAUGGUUCCGCGCUGCAUUAGCUAGUUGGUAAGGUAACGGCUUACCAAGGCAACGAUGCAUAGCUGACCUGAGAGGAUGAUCGGCCACACUGGAACUGAGACACGGUCCAGACUCCUACGGGAGGCAGCAGUAGGGAAUAUUCCGCAAUGGGCGAAAGCCUGACCGAGCAACGCCGCGUGAGUGAUGAAGGCCUUCGGAUCGUAAAGCCCUGUUAUUAGGGAAGAACAUAUGCAGAAGUAUCCGUGCACAUCCUGACGGUACCUAAUCAGAAAGCCACGGCUAACUACGUG